rnacentral:rRNA from 1 species
UGGGGAAUAUUGGACAAUGGGCGCAAGCCUGAUCCAGCCAUGCCGCGUGAGUGAUGAAGGCCCUAGGGUUGUAAAGCUCUUUCAUCGGUGAAGAUAAUGACGGUAACCGGAGAAGAAGCCCCGGCUAACUUCGUGCCAGCAGCCGCGGUAAUACGAAGGGGGCUAGCGUUGUUCGGAAUUACUGGGCGUAAAGCGCACGUAGGCGGACUAUUAAGUCAGGGGUGAAAUCCCGGGGCUCAACCCCGGAACUGCCUUUGAUACUGGUAGUCUUGAGUUCGAGAGAGGUGGGUGGAAUUCCGAGUGUAGAGGUGAAAUUCGUAGAUAUUCGGAGGAACACCAGUGGCGAAGGCGGCUCACUGGCUCGAUACUGACGCUGAGGUGCGAAAGCGUGGGGAGCAAACAGG